rnacentral:rRNA from 1 species
UACAGAGGUCCCAAGCGUUGUUCGGAUUCACUGGGCGUAAAGGGCGCGUAGGCGGCAAUUCAAGUCAGCUGUGAAAUCUCCGGGCUUAACUCGGAACGGUCAGCUGAUACUGUUAUGCUAGAGUGCAGAAGGGGCAAUCGGAAUUCUUGGUGUAGCGGUGAAAUGCGUAGAUAUCAAGAGGAACACCUGAGGUGAAGACGGGUUGCUGGGCUGACACUGACGCUGAGGCGCAAAAGCCAGGGGAGCAAACGGG